rnacentral:siRNA from 1 species
CAUCUCAUUUUUGGGUGGACAAU